AAACACUGGGAGGUACAUGUUGCGUUGAAGACUCAUUAGUCAAUUUUCCUUUCUCAUGUGUGUCUCUCUUCUUUUAGAUGGUGGCGGUGUCCACCAUUUGGGCUCCAUUCCGGCACAGUAGAUCAGAAACCACAAAACUCAUGUUAGGGUUUUCAUAUGCAAGAGAAAGAGACUAAGAGAGAGAGAAAGACCUUACGGUGUACAAAAGGAGAGAGACAGGCGGUGGGGUUUAGGGUUUCGCCUCUUCCACGACUUCUUCGAAACUAUUCAAAGAGAGAGAACAAUGUAGUGGCUCUGGAAUAGAGAGAGAAGGAUGACAGAUCAGAAUCCUUGUCUGCCACCGAUCUGUUGUUGAAAGGUGUAGAAGAACAAAAGGAGACAGCUUUCGAGGCAGCGCCCACUUCCGAUUUCAUCAGCAAUUGCUAAGUAUACGGAACAAAACAUCUGAUAUACAAACUGUUUCAUCAAGGUGAUGUUUGAUACUCAUACAAUUUUCGGUGAUUAAAAUACCGGAAUAAAUUUUGUGGUGAAACAAAAUGGGUUGCAGGAGCAAAUUUUGGUUGCAGAUUGUUUAGGCAGUAGUUUUGACCAUAACCAAUAAGGAGCAAUAAAGUUUCAGCAGCUGAUUUUCAUGUCAACAUUGGACAAAACACUAGGAGAGGAUAAUGUUCUUGAACUUCCACUAGCUCAAGUUCCUAAGUUGGCUACACAAGCUGAGCAACAGCAAUGGGUCAAAACAACAAAGCAACCGUUAAGUUAAAAAGAUCGCUUGAUGUUAUACUUUAUAGCGCGUGUUGGCGAUGUUUCGACAUUCGUUGCUCGUGCCGCAACGCGCGCGGGGUCUAAUUUUGUUGGGAUUGAACCCUAUCAGAGGAACAGAUAAUUAAAGCCAAAACUGGAUCAGAGCAGUGGAUCCUGAAUAAGCAGAUGUUGAUAUACAAAUCUCUCCCCUUGAAAGUGAUUACAACUACUGAUGACCUCCUAUCUACUGAUCUUACUAAACUACUGACCCAUAACUGCUGCUCAACUAAAGAUCUGAUGGAAGACUAAAGUCCUGCUGAUUCAAUCUACUUCCUUGGGUCAAGCACUGCUGAUCCGGACAAGUGCUGCUGGGUUCACAGCAGUAGAAGGUUGCAGCAGCUGUUCUAAAGUCUGUUUUGUAAUAGAAUGUAUUAGCAGUAGUUAACACAAGCAGUGUCUGUAUAGAUCAGAGGUUAGAGUUUGUUAGGAGGUUAGAUGUCACUUUCAUGGUGACGUCAGCAAAGAUGCUCAGUAGUUUGCAAGUGCCUAUAAAUAGUUCAGUACUUGGUACUGUUCUAUCAGCUCUUUGCAUCAUUCGUCUUCUUUGCACGAACAAACUACUGAGCUCUGGCUGAGGGGGAGUUUGCAAUCAUUCAUCAAUCAGUAAUCGUGUUUGAAAUAAAUUCAAUCUUUCGGUUCAUUGUGUAAAGAUGUUUGAUAAAAGUAUUACUCCCGUUUGAUUAUAUGCAAAGUUUGUUUUCAUC